UUGAGAAAAUGAAUUUCCAGCAGUUAAAUACAGCGUGAUGCAGCCAAUCAACCUAUAACAGCCCAAACCCGGAUGAAGGAAAACAUUACAUGGCAAGUGGCACCACAACUGAUGAAUAAAGAUGACAAAUAAAAAGGCUAAUGAGAAUUGAAUAGUGCAUAUCCUGAAACCUCUAAAACCACAUUCAUUAUGCUAAGAAAUUAACUAAAUGCAUUUUUUAUUUUGUAAUAGAAACUUCCACUUGGCUAAUUGAAGCUUCCACUGCAUCUCCCACAGAGCCCAAGAAGUAUCAGUAUGUGACUACUGAAUGAUGGACAAUGAAAUAUAUUAAUACCAUAAAAAAGAAAAAAGGGCAAUUAGGUAUCUGUUGAAGAUUCUGAAAUUUAAGUAGGAAUAUAGGCCAAAGGAAACAGUUAUGUAAUACCAGAGUUUUCAGACAUAUUUACUAUAGAAUACUUGGUAAAGUGUUAUAAAGGAGAGGAGUGAAAGUAGAAAAAGAAAAAAAUAGUUUUAAAAUCUUUAUACUCAAAUAAAAUAAACAUAUAUGGAAUAAACUUGAAAUUAUUAAUAAAAACUCUUUAUAAAUAGCAUUUUAUAAUUCAUUUAUGUGUCCCAACAAGUGUUACUCAUUACUACAAUCUUGCACUCAUCUGCUAUUCCUUGAUGCUAACCUCUUUCUACACUGAAAGAAAUAGAGUUCCAAGAGUUGUCUGCAUCUUGGAACAGUGAAAAUAAAGAUAGAACAAGAGAACUGAGUCAUUGCUAGACAGUAAGAAUACUUUCAGGGAUGCAAAGCAGGCAAUUUAAAAGAGCUUCUCUGAACAAGGUGUGAUCAUCUAAGAAUUAAAUGUGAAAACAAUAAUUAUUUGAAAACCCAAGAAUCUAUAAUGAUAUUCAAAAAUGUGUUAAAGAAUGGUCAUAUACAAAUGAAUUUCAGGUAUUUAUAAAAAUUGUUGAAUAUGGACAUGCCCAGCUAUAUGCUUAACUCAUUUUAAUCAACAUUUAAGUCUCAUUAUACUUAUUUGACAGUAAAGUUAUUACUUCUAUGUCUAGUUGGGUUAAUAAAAAUCUAAACAGGUGAAAUCAAACAACAAAAAUAUUAGGGAAAGUGCAGAGAUUUAUAUUGAAUGUUUUAAACCCAUGGAAAUACAUUUCAACUAUUGGUUCCACAUUGGAAAAAUGGCAUCUUUAAGGUCCAAAGUUUUACUUGAUUAAAUUCUUAUGCUAUUGUUAUUUUACCUGUAUAAUUUAUAAACUAACUGGGCAAAUAUUGGUUUGAGUAAAUGGAUUUUAUUCAACAUUCUCUUACUCUCCAAACGCAUCCAAUCUUUGUUUCUAUCUCAUUUUCACACACACACACACAUACACACUAGAAAUGAUAAGGGCAAAACAUAUUGUAUGUUCAAUGAUUGUGGGAUUACUCAAGUUAAAAGGAAAGGCAUCACUGGAAAGUUCCUUUCAGUAAGUAAUGGUCAAUAAAGUCAAGUCUGGGUGGAGUCUUCUGGAAGCUUCACUCAGAUCCAAGAGAUAGAAUCUUGGGCCAUUAACUCUGUUACAGAAUCAAAGUUGCCAUAGCAGGUAUGAGAUGGUCAUUAGGUUUCACUCCCUUAAAAUAAUGCAUUUGUACCUUUGAUGCGGUUUUAACUCAUACAUGUAACAAGCAGGUCAUUAGUAAGCAGGUCAUUAUUCCUGAAGUCACUACAGAUAGAAGUCUAUAGACUUCUAUAGAAUUCACCAAGGUAAAGAGGCCAUUCUGAAAAAAAAAUAAAGGAUUAAAUCAUACAUGUAGUGCAUGGUUAACUGUAAGCACACACAUGAUAUUACUAAAAGUCAAUUUAUCAUUGUAAUUCUUUAACGUGUUAUGUCCCAGAGGAUGUGUGCCAGGAGAACCAGGCGAAGUAUCUUCAGAAUACGUUUUAAAUAUUCUAGAGAUGCUUUGCUGACCUAUUUAAAACUCUUAAGUGCUUUGUUGUGACAAAGUUAAUAGCUGAAUCCAUUUCACACGUAUAUUUUAGAACAGACUAACUGAUGGUCUGACUACUGUCUGUUAAUAUUGCUGCCUGCUUACAAACAGCUUCUGGGGAAUCCUAAGAAUCUUAAAAAUAGAAAAUGGCAUAUUUCUAUAGAAACUACAAAAUGAUAUUGCCAGAGUUUUGACUUUUGUCCACAGGUAGAAAAAUAUAUACAUUGUUGACAUGACAUAGCAAAUAAACACUUCACAGAUGACUGAGUGGUUCCAUGCUAACUGCUAGGUUAUCACAAAACACAAUUACUCAUCUACUACUGUAUUAGGGUUCUCUAAAGGGACAGAACUAACAGGAUAGAUGUAUAUACAUAAAGGGGAGUUUAUUAAGGAGUAUUGACUCACAUGAUCACAAAGUGAGAUCCCAGAAUAGGCCAUUUGCAAGCUGAGGAGCAAGGAAGCCAGUCUGAGUCCCAAAACUUGAAAAGUAGGGAAGCCGAUAGUGCAGCCUGCAGUCUAUGGUCGAAGGUCCAAGAGUCCCAAAGCUGAAAACUUGGAGUCUGAUGUUCAAGGGCGGAAGCAUCCAGCACAGGAGGAAGAUGUAGGCCCGGAGACUAAGCCAGAGUAGUCUUUUCACGUUCUUCUGCCUGCUUUUAGUCUGGCUGCACUGGCAGCUGAUUUAGAUUGUGCCCAAACAGAUUAAGGCUGGGUCUGCCUUUCCCAGUUCACUGACUCAGCUGUUAAGCUCCUUUGGCAACAACCUCAAAGACACAGCCAGGAACAAUAAUUUGCAUCCUUCAAUCUAACUGAGUUGACACUCAAUAUGAACCAUCACAAUGACCAAAUGUCAAUGUGCUAUUAAAAGUAUAUUUUCUCUUAGGUAGGUAACAUGUCGGAGAUACUGUUCUAGCCACAGUUUCAAGGGCCAUGUUUAUAUUCUGAGAACAGGGAGAGAGACAGAGAGAGAUAAUGCGUUUUAGAAGAAAGUUGGGAUUUCGUAAAAGAUAAAGACACUAGAAAUCAAUUACUUCUUUCUCUUAUUUGCAAAAACAAAAUUUAGGUGAAUAUCAGAAUAUUAGACUUAACUGGGUAUCAAAAACACACCAUGUUAUCUCUAUAUCAUAGUGUAUGGUUAAAAAAUUUUCAAUGAAAGUUUUAUCAAAAUAAUUUUUGAUGGUCAAAACAGUUAUUUAUGUAUAAAUACAUAGUUUUAUUUUUUCCUUAAUGCAAUUUUUGUUUAUAAAAAGUACAACAUUCAUCAGUAGACAACUUGCUGAGACAAGAAGUCUUUUCCUGAUGGAAGGUCUUUUCUCAAUCGAAGGGUUCGUGGUCCCACGGGCUUCAAGAAAUGAAGCCGUGGACCACAGUGGCGAGUGUUACAGCUCGAUUAGAGAAACGUGCGGACCCAAAGAGCGUGGGGCGGCAUAAUUAAAGCAAAAGUGAAAGCGAAAGUAAAGCUUCCGGGCGGUGGAAGGGGACCCGGAAGGGUUGCCAUUUUUGGCUUGGGUAUCUUAUGCUUAUAUCUCCUUAUGACCCCUCCCCUUUUCCUUUUUCUGUCCUAUAGAAUUAGCUUAUUUUCUAUCUGCUUGUGGGUUGGCGGGCCUGUUUGGUUAAAAACAUCAGGCUGCAGCUAGAGCUUAAACUUCCUAUAUGAUUGGUUGAAGUGUCCAUCCCUUGGCUUGCAGCUGUGACUCAU
rnacentral:lncRNA from 1 species